rnacentral:rRNA from 1 species
GAUGAACGCUAGCGGCAGGCUUAAUACAUGCAAGUCGAGGGGCAGCGGGUCCCGCAGCAAUGCGGGAUGCCGGCGACCGGCGCACGGGUGCGUAACACGUAUGCAACCUACCUAUAACUGGAGAAUAGCCCGGAGAAAUCCGGAUUAACACUCCAUAUUAUCACGAAGAGGCAUCUCUUUGUGCUGAAAGCUCCGGCGGUUAUAGAUGGGCAUGCGUCCGAUUAGCUAGUUGGUGAGGUAACGGCUCACCAAGGCAACGAUCGGUAGGGGAUCUGAGAGGAUGACCUCCACACUGGUACUGAGACACGGACCAGACUCCUACGGGAGCAGCAGUAAGGAAUAUUGGUCAAUGGACGCAAGUCUGAACCAGCCAUGCCGCGUGCAGGAUGACUGCCCUAUGGGUUGUAAACUGCUUUUGUACGGGAAAAACCCUAGAUCGCGCAUCAGGGCUGA